rnacentral:tRNA from 1 species
GCUGGGCUAUAGCUCAGUCGGUAAAGUCCUUGCCUAGCAUGCAUGAAGCCCUGAGUUCGAUCCCCCAGCACUGCA